rnacentral:tRNA from 1 species
AAAUAAGAAGCAAUUACUUGCACUUAGUUUCGACCUAAGCUUUGACGUUUGUCCUUAUUUA